rfam:Parcubacteria group bacterium RIFCSPLOWO2_02_FTLL_40_12 rifcsplowo2_02_scaffold_23390, whole genome shotgun sequence.
CUAAUUGAUCUUACAAUCCAUUAGGUGGAUGACUAGGCUUAAAACAAUGAAGAAGAGCGUGGCAAGCAGCGAUAUGCCCUGGCGAAGCGCAAGCAGCUAUUGAGCCGGGGAUUCUUCAAUAGGACUUCCUUCUCUUAGGAGAGACCAGGAAUGGUUAAUAACGCAGGGAAUUGAAGCGUCUUAGUACCUGCAGGAAGAGAAAUCAAAUGAGAUACCGUGAUUAUCAGCGAGAGAAAACGGUACAAGGCAAACUGAAUUCUCUAUAGAAAUGUAGAGAAGAUGUGGUGUUGCAAGACCUACUUUUAGUCUUCUGUGAGUGACUCAAAGUUCUCUGGAAAGGGAUGCCGUAGAAGGUGAUAGCCCUGUAGGGGAAACUCAUAAAGAUGUGUAGGUAUCUUGAGUAGGGCUUAUUGGAUAUUAAGUCCGAAUUUUGGAGACAUCAACUUCAAACCUUAAAUAUGUUUUAAGUCCGAUAGCGCACAAGUACUGUGAAGGAAAGUUGAAAAGAACCCGUAAUAGGGAGUUAAAAGUCCUGAAACCUAAUGGAGCCAGUAUGUUACGGCUCUUAGGAGUUGUAUCGUACGUUUCGAAUAACGGGCCAGGAAGUUUAUCUAAGUGGCGAGAAUAAAUUCUUAAGGAAUGUAUUCGUAGGGAAACCGAUAUUCCGCAGUUUACGAGGGAAGAUGUAUGAAAAUGCUUUUAGUCACUUGGAUUUGACCAGAAACCGGGUGAUCUAACCCUGAGCAAGGUGAAGCAGGAGUAAAAUCUUGUGGAGGCCUGAAGAGGUUCUGUGUGCAUGCGUUCUUCUGAUUUGGGGUUAGGGGUGAAAGGCCAAUCGAACCCGGUGAUAGCUGGUUCCUGCCGAAAUAGGCCGUAGUCUAAUCUGAGAUGAGAUAGUUAAGAGGGUAGAGCUACGGAUUGGGGAUUCUGGGAGGGAAACUUCUCGGUCCCCUGUCCAACUCAGAAUGUCUUAACGUCGUAGAAUCUCGGUUACGGGGGUACUGGGGUAAACUUGUACUCCAAGAGGGGAACAACCCAUGACUAUAGUUAAGGUCCCUAAAUACUAGUUAAGUGUGAACGGGUAAAAGGUGUGUAUUUCCACAGACAGCUGGGAGGUAGGCUCAGAAGCAGCCACCCUUCAAAGAAAGCGUAAUAGCUCACCAGUCAAGGGAAUAUGCCCUGAAGAUGGACGGGGCUAAAAUUAGUUACCGAUACUAUAGACCAUCCAAAAGAUGUGUGGUAGGCAGGUGCAAUUAUUGGACAGAAGUCUUUCUAUGAGGAGAGAUGGACCGUUAAUUGAUAAGAAUCCUGGCGGUAGUAAGAUCAAAACAGAGUGAGAUUCUCUGGUACCGAAAGGACGAGAUUUUCUUAGCAAUGUAAAUCAGCUAAGAGUAAGUUGAUCCUAACUGAUACCUUAACUGGGAAUCGGGAAAGGGAAAAUGGUUAAGAUUCCAUUACCACUUAAAUACACGUGGCAACACAAGGCAAUCUCUUGAAACUUAGGGUUAGAUUGACAUUUACUGUCGUGAAUGUUAAACAGAAUAAGUCUUUGGAAUAUCGUAAUGAUUAGAAAAAGAUUAAAUCUGUGAAUAGCGGGGCAACCUGUUCAGUCCAUACCUAGAGUCCGUGAAAAGGGAGAAUGCAAGGAUUUUAAGUGUUCAUAUCAAGAACCAACACUGGUGUCCUAGGUGAGAAGCCUCAGGUACGCGGGAGAAAUCUAACUAAGGGAACUCGGCAAAUUAGCCUUGUACCUUCGGUAUAAAGGGUCCCUGCGAUUGUGUUCUUAUGAAUGCGGUUACAGGGUGCAAUGACAAAGGGUGUCCGACUGUUUAACAAAAACAUAUCCUUUCGCUAGUCAGUAAUGAUUUGUAUGGAAGGUCACGCAUGCCCAGUGCCAGUAUCUCAAACUUCUUUUCAAGGGAGCUAAGGACUGGUAAACGGCGGGAAUAACUAUAAUUCUCUUAAGGUAGCGAAAUGCCUUGCCAUUUUAUUGAUGGCUUGCAUGAAUGCGUAACGAGAUACCCACUGUCCCUAGUUAGAGUCCCCUGAAUACAAAUUCCUGGUGCAAAGUCCAGGGCCUUCUAGUGGGAAGUAAAGACCCCGUGAAGCUUUACUGUAACUUGUUGCUGUGGUAUUGGUUUUAUUGUGCAGCAUAGGUAGUAGUUGCUAAGUUCUAGUCGCUAGAUUAGAAAUAGACAAUAAUGAGAUACUACCCUAUAGAACUUGUAUUGCUAACCUAGAAAUAGGAACAACAGCAGGCAGACAGUUUGGCUGGGGCGGCACCCUGCUGAAAAGAUAUCAGUAGGGCCCAAAGGUCAGCUCAUCUGGUUUAGAAAUCCAGAGUGGAGUGCAAGAGCAAAAGCUGGCUUGACUGUAUCCUACACAGUGAGGGAUGCAGAAAGGAAACUUUGGUCUAGCGAACCCUUAUGUCCUCCUUGAUGGGGGCUAAGUAUGACAGAAAAGCUACUCCGGGGAUAAUUGAGUCGUCGCGCCUUAGAGCUCAAAUCGACGGNNNNNNNNNCUUCAUCGAUGUCGGCUCUUNNNNNNNNNNNNNNNNNNNNNNNNNNNNNNNNNNNNNNNNNNNNNNNNNNNNNNNNNNNNNNNNNNNNNNNNNNNNNNNNNNNNNNNNNNNNNNUUGUGCAUAUAUAUCUAUGCGCUUACUGGAAGUUUUCCUUGAAGGUUUAGUAAAACAAGGCUAUCAAAAAUCAGAGAUUCGCAUUCUGGGUGUAGAGAAAGAACUAAGAUGUAAAUUGAAAAAUACUUCGAUUAGUGACUUUAGUAAAAGGUAUAGAAUAAACUCCGGUACAUUAUCAGCGAUGUUGAAAGGGAAGAGGGCAAUUCCGUUUAAUUUUAUUGGAAUACCCUCUUGUGAAUAUAGAUUGGCAUUAAAAAACAGCAACAUACCUAUAAAAAUUCCAAAAGACAUAACAAAAGAAUUGGCUUACCUUGUUGG